UACGAAGGGGGCUAGCGUUGCUCGGAAUGACUGGGCGUAAAGGGCGCGUAGGCGGUUUGCACAGUCAGGCGUGAAAUUCCUGGGCUUAACCUGGGGGCUGCGCUUGAUACGUGUUGACUGGAGUGCGGAAGAGGGUCGUGGAAUUCCCAGUGUAGCGGUGAAAUGCGUAGAUAUCGGAAGGAACACCGGUGGCGAAAGCGGCGCGCUGGACCUCUUCUGACGCUGAGGCGCGAAAGCCAGGGGAGCGAACGGG
rnacentral:rRNA from 1 species